UCAUGGCUUGUGACAAGUAAAGACUUUAUCUACUUAAUAGAAACUGUAUAAUUUCAGUGUCAAAAAAUAACAAUAAAUGACAUUGUCAGUAUCAGGAGUGAUUGUUGAGUGUCAGUGAAGUUAUUAGUCAAUGUCCGCCUUCCUCAGACAGCAGUAUCAGACCAACUCCUUUAGAGUGUGUAUUAUCUGGUGCUACUCUGAAUGGUGGGCAAUGGAUUGACCCUAAUGGAACAACUUGAACAAUCUGUCCCUGCCCCUGUCAAGGCUCGAGAUCUAGUCAUAGAUUUUUAAUGUCCAUGUAUUAAUCCUUUAGCUGGCAGGCAUCCAGCUGUGAUUUCAAUGUAAUAUAACUGACUUUGUAUCUAUUACCACAUAAAAAAGAAGUGAGCUGAUAAAAACAAAGUAUGAUGGAUAACUGGAGUUGUAUGGCAAUUAAUUAACACUGAAUCAUUGAAAGCAAUAGAUACCAUGAAAAACAUAUAUUAUUAAAUGCCUUUUUAAAUUGAAUUUGUUGUCUUUUCAUGAUGACUUAAAAAUACA